UACGUAGGUGGCAAGCGUUGUCCGGAUUUACUGGGCGUAAAGGGCGUGCAGGCGGUUUGUUAAGUCUAGGGUGAAAGCUCCCGGCUCAACUGGGAGAGGUCCUUGGAUACUGGCAGACUUGAGGAGGGUAGAGGAGAGUGGAAUUCCCGGUGUAGUGGUGAUAUGCGUAGAUAUCGGGAGGAACACCAGUGGCGAAGGCGGCUACCUGGCCUGAUACUGACACUGAGGCACGAAAGCGUGGGGAGCAAACAGG
rnacentral:rRNA from 1 species